UUUCAUAUUGUUAAACAAUCGUUUAUUGUUACAUGAAAGUAUGGUCAAAUUUUACUGAUUAUCUUAUGUUGUACUUCACAGUUGCAAAACGUGUUUUUCGAUAGUAGCGCACUCUGGCUAGUGAUUAUUAUGAGGUUAGACACAGGUACAAGCUAUUAAAAAUAUUGUGUGAAAAGGUGUAUUUGAUAUUACAGUGACGAAAAAUUGUUGUAGCAUCCAAGUAUGCUCUCUUAAUCAUUCUUAUCUCUAAUAAUCAAGGGAAGAGAAUAAUGUUACAGAUAUAAUCAUAUAUAUUUUUGGUUGCUUCCUCAUAUUAUCAGUAAUUAGGAUCUCUGCAUUAGAAGAUCUUUCUGAAUUUGCACAUCAACAAUGACAUACAAUUUAUAAUUGUAGUCAUCAAAUAUGGAAUCCU